AAUCAACGCUGGCGGCGUGCCUCAGACAUGCAAGUCGAACGAUUAAACUUUCCUUCGGGAAAGAUAUAAAGUGGCGCACGGGUGAGUAAACACGUAAGUAAUCUACCUUCGAGUGGGGAAUAACCCGGGGAAACCCGAGCUAAUACCGCAUAACGCAGCGGCAUCGCAAGAUGACAGUUGUUAAAGGAGCAAUCCGCUUGAAGAGGAGCUUGCGGCAGAUUAGCUAGUUGGUAAGGUAAUGGCUUACC
rnacentral:rRNA from 1 species